rnacentral:pre_miRNA from 1 species
UCUUAUGAGUGAGCAAAGAAAGUGGUUUCUUGAGUUCGAAUCUACUCCUGGUGAAGAUGCUGUGAA